rnacentral:rRNA from 1 species
GGCGAACGCUGGCGGCGUGCUUAACACAUGCCAGUCGAACGGAAAGGCCCUGCUUUUGUGGGGUGCUCGAGUGGCGAACGGGUGAGUAACACGUGAGUAACCUGCCCUUGACUUUGGGAUAACUUCAGGAAACUGGGGCUAAUACCGGAUAGGAGCUCCUGCUGCAUGGUGGGGGUUGGAAAGUUUCGGCGGUUGGGGAUGGACUCGCGGCUUAUCAGCUUGUUGGUGGGGUAGUGGCUUACCAAGGCUUUGACGGGUAGCCGGCCUGAGAGGGUGACCGGCCACAUUGGGACUGAGAUACGGCCCAGACUCCUACGGGAGGCAGCAGUGGGGAAUAUUGCACAAUGGGCGGAAGCCUGAUGCAGCAACGCCGCGUGCGGGAUGACGGCCUUCGGGUUGUAAACCGCUUUCGCCUGUGACGAAGCGUGAGUGACGGUAAUGGGUAAAGAAGCACCGGCUAACUACGU